rnacentral:rRNA from 1 species
ACGCUCGACACCUACGGGAGCAGCAGUAGGGAAUCUUCCGCAAUGGACGAAAGUCUGACGGAGCAACGCCGCGUGAACGAUGAAGGUUUUCGGAUCGUAAAGUUCUGUUGUUAGGGAAGAACAAACUUCGUUUGAAUAAGGCGGAGUCAUGACGGUACCUAACGAGAAAGCCACGGCUAACUACGUGCCAGCAGCCGCGGUAAUCUGAGCGGGCUGGCAAGGC